AGUGAACGCUGGCGGUAGGCCUAACACAUGCAAGUCGAACGGCAGCACAGUAAGAGCUUGCUCUUACGGGUGGCGAGUGGCGGACGGGUGAGGAAUACAUCGGAAUCUACUUUUUCGUGGGGAUUAACGUAGGGAAACUUACGCUAAUACCGCAUACAACCUACGGGUGAAACCAGGGGAUCUUCGGACCUUGCGCGAUUGAAUGAGCGGAUGUCGGAUUAGCUAGUUGGCGGGGUAAAGGCCCACCAAGGCGACGAUCCGUAGCUGGUCUGAGAGGAUGAUCAGCCACACUGGAACUGAGACACGGUCCAGACUCCUACGGGAGGCAGCAGUGGGGAAUAUUGGACAAUGGGCGCAAGCCUGAUCCAGCCAUACCGCGUGGGUGAAGAAGGCCUUCGGGUUGUAAAGCCCUUUUGUUGGGAAAGAAAAGCAGCAGGUUAAUACCCCGCUGUUCUGACGGUACCCAAAGAAUAAGCACCGGCUAACUUCGUG
rnacentral:rRNA from 1 species